CUUCGGACGCCGCGUGGGCAGUACCACUAAAAAUAAGGAAGAGGAACCCAAGAGAACUAACUCAACCUUUUGAAUAGAGAGAAAGCACCGUCUAUGAACCAGAAAGCAGGCCCCGAGCAGAUACUGCAUCUGCUAAGGGUUUGAUUUUGGACUCUGCAGCCUCCAGAACUGUAAGUACUAUAAUAAACUUCACCUGUUUAUAAGCCACUCAUCUGCCUAUGAUAUUUUGUUAAAGUGGCCUGAACAGACUGAGGCACCCUUUUUCACUUCAAGGACUAAAUGUCUUCUCUUACCUCUCUUUGGAGACUCCCUUUGAAGGGUUUUUGUUCCUCCAAUCUCCUGCUUUGGUCUUUUUCUUUCAUUCUAGGUCUUCCCAUAAACAUCUGGUGAUCCCUGGCUGCCUUAAGAUUUCUUCCAAGAUUCCCCAAGAGCUGGUGGGCAGACUCUAUGUGCACACAUGCGGCUGCUCCCCCAGGGUUCUCAAAGGAACCAGCGUGAGCCAGCAUGUAACAAGUCAGAGGAUCCUGUUGCAGAAGACGGGUGCAGAGGGACAUCUUGAGACUCGUGAAGGAGCACCAAGGACCUGAGCCAGACAGGCUGCUGUUCCAGAUGAGUCAGCCGCCCCCAGAAUCCUCAGGCAAACCAGUGCGCCCCCGGGUUUUCUGAAAUAUACUCUAUGUGAACAUUUUGUAUGGUCACCAGAACUUCUAUUCAACUUGCUGACUGACCUGACCUCAACGUCUCACUGCUACUACUCUUCCCAGCCUCUGGGGCAGAAAAUCAAAUCAAGCCUAUUGAAAGCUGCAGUGUAAUUGAAAAACCAAAC
rnacentral:lncRNA from 1 species